UACGGAGGGUGCAAGCGUUAAUCGGAAUUACUGGGCGUAAAGCGCACGCAGGUGGCUGAGAAAGUCGAUUGUGAAAGCCCUGGGCUUAACCUGGGAAUUGCAGUCGAAACUACUCGGCUAGAGUAUGGGAGAGGGUAGUGGAAUUCCCGGUGUAGCGGUGAAAUGCGUAGAUAUCGGGAGGAACAUCAGUAGCGAAGGCGGCUACCUGGCCCAAUACUGACACUCAGGUGCGACAGCGUGGGGAGCAAACAGG
rnacentral:rRNA from 1 species